AUGUAAUAAACCAUCCUAGGACACAUUAACUUACAAAUUAUGAUCUAAAAAUAAUAUAGGCCAAUAAAAAAAUAUGUAAUCAUGAUAUUAUACAAAAUAAUUAUCAUUACAUAAAUAGUCCAAGAUAUACUCUUUACUUCAUGGUGGUGGACACAAUGCCCUAAAGUGCAAGUUAGAAACAGUAAAAAUAAGUGGAUAUGACUUCCCAGCCUUCUGCAAGGCUACAAGUGUAAGGCAAGAGUGCUAUGGUGCACUCAUGCACCUUAUGAACAGAAAAUGUGAUGAUCUACAAAAUUAUGAACUGUUACCUUCUCGCAUCUGAGGAAAAAGAG
rnacentral:misc_RNA from 1 species